GGAUGGAUUCCCGAGUGGCUAAAGGGGGCAGACUGUAAAUCUGUUGACUGCGUCUUCGAAGGUUCGAAUCCUUCUCCAUCCA
rnacentral:tRNA from 1 species